rnacentral:misc_RNA from 1 species
ACAGCCACUUCGGAAGCAGGGGCUCUCUGCGCCAGGUCGGAGACGCACCUUACAAAACAUAUCAUCGACGCCGCUCACAUCGGGUUUUUGUCUUCAGCACGACACCACACUUGAGUCUGUGUGGCCACUUUCUCUCCCAUACCUCGAUCACACGUCUUGAAAAGCGGUAGUGCAUCAACGCACGCCGACACACAUAAACGCGAAGGCACCGCGCGAGUGGUUCAGCCUCUGCAGCCCUCCCCGUCCCCGCCCUCCAGCAAUGUUUCGAGGCCGUACUUUCCUGGUCUCUCUUGCGGCGUCGCCGUUGACGGUGGCAGAGCUUACCCAAAACGGCGGCCGCGUGGUGUACGACUUGGAUGACAAGACUCCCGUCACAUGCGCCAUCAUCGCGAGCGAUAACCAGCCCGGCACUCCCGCGCGCUGCAGCCGUGGCUCGGGGCCAUCAAAGGAACUGCCUAAAUCAGUGGAGAGCCGCGUCCGUUCCAGUCGCCUCACAGUAGUUUACGAGCAUUGGGUGCAUGAGUGCCUGCGCGAGAACCGUCUCUUGCUACCGUGCCGAGACUACCCCGACACCAUCGCUUACGACCCGUACUUAUUUGCGGGCGUUCACUUCACGACGACGCAGCUGCCGCUGCAGCUGAAAGCGAACAUUAUCGCACUCAUGCAGUUCUACGGUGCCACGUACCACAACCACCUGCUGGACACGACGAACCUGUUAGUUUACAGUCACAUGCGCCUUUCACCCGCCGCCCCGCGGCAUGCGGCGACGGCCCCUCUUGCGCCUCGGCUUCUCGCUGCCGGUGGUUGCGGCGCAGAGGCACCGCCUUCCACCAACGAAGCGGAGGCUGCAAACACCAGUCCCAGCCAGCAAUUAUCGACGGAGCGGUCUGGCGACAACCCUACCGACGCUGCUCAGCCAUCGCUGACGAAGCUCGCCGUUGCGCGUCAGCGCGGCCUUGCGUGCGUGACACCACAGUGGGUGCAGCUGUGUCUGAACACUGGCGAACUGAAACCGGCAAGCUCGGCUCUAGCAGCGACACCUCUUGCUCAGACCCCGCCGCCUCCUUCCACCAACUCCAGCUCAACAAUCCGGACUGACGCUCCUGUGCCCAUCGUGACUGCUGCUGGCGAUCUUCGCCACAAUGAGGAGGAAGUGGAUCGAUGGGUCGGCGAAGUACUCAGGAGCACAUCACCUUUGGCUCUUCCGCACUCUGGUGGUGCCACCACAGGUGUGUGUGCGGCGCCCCUCCCUGGGUCGUCGUUGUGCACCGUGCCAGGAAGACAGGAGGAAGCUGCCGAGGUGCGUGAGGCGCUCAGGCUAGCAGCUCAGCUCUCGCUCUCUGGUGCUUCAGCCUCGAGGACGCGAAAGCGCCGGCGCGCGCACUGACGGCAUGCCAAAACAAAAAAGAGAACAGAAGGCGCUGAUGGAGAAUGGAGCUCGUAGAGCCGCCGCUCACGUCUGCUCCCUCUCUUGAGCCGCAGUCGCACAUAGAAUCUCUCGCAUGCUUUAUGUCGACUUUCCUCGGCGAGUCUGAGUAAAUCAAAGUGAGGGAGAAAAGGACCGAUGCCGAUGGUGCCGUGGUCCGCACUCGAUAGAAGACGAAGAGAGUCGAUGAAACUGCAUGUGUAGAAGCACGCGCGCGCACACACACAUGCACACAUACAGUUUCACGCAUAAGCCGUAGAUGCAUGCGCGCAUACACGCAUAGACAAGAAAACGCUGGCAUAGCGGCGUAGAACACACAAGAUGCACAGAAAAGCAAACGAAAUACACACACACACAUACAUACACACAAGAGCAGCAGGAAAAGGAGUUGCUGCGUGUGCCUGCGCGCUGCGCUCCUGCUUCUUGCCGUGCUCACGCAGCUUGACUGAUUUUCGCCGUGGCUACUUCUUUUCUUUUCCCCGCCCCCCCCCUCCCUCCCUCCUUCUCUGGCACUGUCGCACAACGUCUCACGCCUUGCGAUUCGUGUGAUUGCUCUGAGGGAGGAGUAUGCAUUGCCUCCUCCCCAUUUUUUGGCCUCUGUUGCAGCGCACACCCAGUGUUGUGUCAGAUUUCUUCCCCUUUUUCUCACGGGCCGCGUGCAAAGCCCUCUCUGGGUUGCGUGAGGUUGGCUGUUGUUGCUUGGCUCGCUGUGUCUAUUUCGCCGCACAUGCACCCCACCCCCCAAACCCCAUCCUCUCCCUUUCCCUAGUCAUCGUUGCACUCUUCACACGCGCUGCAUGCGCUGAUAACGGAGACAAGCAUGGACAACGCAG